rnacentral:lncRNA from 1 species
CAUGAUAGUAAGAAACUAAGCACGAAUUUAUACAGCAAGAUAUUGUUAGUAGGGAAAAUUGUUCAUCAAAUUCACUGCGAGUAUUCAUCAUAAAAUUAUGACAAUACGAAUACCUAAAAUCACUACUAUAAUUUGACAUUCAUAUUCCAAUCUGUCACGGAACCGCAUUGCCACUGUUUACUUGUGUGUUGGAUACGAUGUCACAGUCCUAUGUAAAUUGUGUCAAAUAAUAUUAAAACGACUCAUGCAAUAUAUAAGUUUUUUAAUCAUUUUAUUGAGCUCUUUCUGUCAUGAUUCAACUUGGCUUUCUAAGUAGCACAAAAGUUAAUGAUAAUGAUUGGUAUUGGGGAUGUCAUGGUAACAUAUGUUUUAGUUCUACGAUAACACUGUCUUGGGACUUUGAUCUAUAACAGCAC